GGCACCGUAGCUCAGGGGUAGAGCAAAGGAUUCAUAAGCCUUGGGUCGGCAGUUCAAAUCUGCCCGGUGCUACCA
rnacentral:tRNA from 1 species